AUUGAACGCUGGCGGCAGGCUUAACACAUGCAAGUCGAACGAGUGGCGGACGGGUGAGUAAUGCUUGGGAAUCUAGCUUAUGGCUGGGGAUAACUACGGGACACUGUAGCUAAUACCGCGGACCAUAGGAUGAGCCCAAGUUGGAUUUGGUAGUUGGUGAGGUAAAGGCUCACCAAGCCGACGAUCUCUAGCUGGUCUGAGAGGCUGACCAGCCACACGGGGACUGAGACACGGCCCAGACUCCUACGGGAGGAAGCAGUGGGGAAUAUUGCACAAUGGGCGCAAGCCUGAUGCAGCCAUGCCGCGUGUAUGAAGAAGGCCUUCGGGUUGUAAAGUACUUUCAGUCGGGAGGCGUUACCGACAGAAGAAGCACCGGCUAACUCCGUGCCAGCAGCCGCGGUAAUUC
rnacentral:rRNA from 1 species